rnacentral:rRNA from 1 species
CUUUCAACAAUGGAUCUCUUGGUUCUGGCAUCGAUGAAGAACGCAGCGAAACGCGAGAGGUAAUGUGAAUUGCAGAAUUCCGUGAAUCAUCGAAUCUUUGAACGCACAUUGCGCCCUCUGGUAUUCCGGGGGGCACGCCCGUCCGAGCGUCAUCU